rnacentral:miRNA from 1 species
UCCCGCAGCUCCUGCUCUGGUC